GAUGAAGAACGCAGCGAAACGCGAUAAGUAAUGUGAAUUGCAGAAUUCAGUGAAUCAUCGAAUCUUUGAACGCACAUUGCGCCCGCCAGUAUUCUGGCGGGCAUGCCUGUUCGAGCGUCAUUUCAACCAUCAAGCCCCCGGCUUGUGUUGGGGACCUGCGGCUGCCGCAGGCCCUGAAAACCAGUGGCGGGCUCGCUGUCACACCGAGCGUAGUAGAUUUUCAUCUCGCUCAGGGCGUGCUGCGGGUUCCGGCCGUAAAAAGCCUUAUUUACCCAAGGUUGACCUCGGAUCAGGUAGGAAGACCCGCUGAACUUAAGCAUAUCAAUAAGCGGAGGA
rnacentral:misc_RNA from 1 species